CGCAGGCGGUCUUGUCCGUCAGGUGUGAAAGCUCGGGGCUCAACCCCGGAAGUGCACUUGAAACAGCAAGACUUGAGUACGGGAGAGGAGAGAGGAAUUCCUGGUGUAGAGGUGAAAUUCGUAGAUAUCAGGAGGAACACCGAUGGCGAAGGCAUCUCUCUGGACCGAUAUUGACGCUGAGGCGCGAAGGCGUGGGUAGCGAACG
rnacentral:rRNA from 1 species